rnacentral:rRNA from 1 species
AGGGGUAACAGAGGAGCUUGCUCUUGCUGACGACCGGCGCACGGGUGCGUAACGCGUAUACAAUCUGCCUUACACUAAGGGAUAGCCCAGAGAAAUUUGGAUUAACACCUUAUAGUUUAUUUUUAUGGCAUCAUUUAAAUAAUAAAGUUUACGGUGUAAGAUGAGUAUGCGUCCCAUUAGUUUGUUGGUAAGGUAACGGCUUACCAAGACUACGAUGGGUAGGGGCCCUGAGAGGGGGAUCCCCCACACUGGUACUGAGACACGGACCAGACUCCUACGGGAGGCAGCAGUGAGGAAUAUUGGACAAUGGAGGAGACUCUGAUCCAGCCAUGCCGCGUGCAGGAAGACGGUCCUAUGGAUUGUAAACUGCUUUUAUACAGGAAGAAUAAGGACUACGUGUAGUCUGGUGACGGUACUGUAAGAAUAAGGACCGGCUAACUCCGUGCCAGCAGCCGCGGUAAUACGGAGGGUCCGAGCGUUAUCCGGAAUUAUUGGGUUUAAAGGGUCCGUAGGCGGGCUGUUAAGUCAGGGGUGAAAGUUUGCAGCUCAACUGUAGAAUUGCCUUUGAUACUGAUGGUCUUGAAUUAUUGUGAAGUGGUUAGAAUAUGUAGUGUAGCGGUGAAAUGCAUAGAUAUUACAUAGAAUACCGAUUGCGAAGGCAGAUCACUAACAAUUGAUUGACGCUGAUGGACGAAAGCGUGGGUAGCGAACAGGAUUAGAUACCCUGGUAGUCCACGCCGUAAACGAUGGAUACUAGCUGUUUGGAUUUCGAUCUGAGCGGCCAAGCGAAAGUGAUAAGUAUCCCACCUGGGGAGUACGUUCGCAAGAAUGAAACUCA